AAACCAACAGGGAUUGCCUUAGUAGCGGCGAGUGAAGCGGCAAUAGCUCAAAUUUGAAAUCUGGCGUCUUCGGCGUCCGAGUUGUAAUUUGAAGAAGGUAUCUUUGAGACUGGCCUUUGUCUAUGUUCCUUGGAACAGGACGUCACAGAGGGUGAGAAUCCCGUGCGAUGAGGUGUCCAGUUUCGUGUAAAGUUCCUUCGACGAGUCGAGUUGUUUGGGAAUGCAGCUCUAAGUGGGUGGUAAAUUCCAUCUAAAGCUAAAUAUUGGCGAGAGACCGAUAGCGAACAAGUACUGUGAAGGAAAGAUGAAAAGAACUUUGAAAAGAGAGUGAAAAAGUACGUGAAAUUGUUGAAAGGGAAGGGCUUGAGGUCAGACUUGGUUUUACCAGGCCAGCAUCAGUUUGGACGGCAGGAUAAUAGCUUAGGAAAGUGGCACCGCUUCGGUGGUGUGUUAUAGCCUUUGUUGAUACUGCCUGUCUAGACUGAGGACUGCGUCUUUGACUAGGAUGCUGGCAUAAUGACCUUAAGCCGC
rnacentral:rRNA from 1 species